rnacentral:rRNA from 1 species
GACGUUUAUUGGGCCUAAAGCAUCCGUAGCCGGUUCUACAAGUCUUCCGUUAAAUCCACCUGCUUAACAGAUGGGCUGCGGAAGAUACUAUGGAGCUAGGAGGCGGGAGAGGCAAGCGGUACUCGAUGGGUAGGGGUAAAAUCCGUUGAUCCAUUGAAGACCACCAGUGGCGAAGGCGGCUUGCCAGAAUGCGCUCGACGGUGAGGGAUGAAAGCUGGGGGAGCAAACCGG